CCUACGGGUGGCAGCAGUGAGGAAUAUUGCGCAAUGGGGGAAACCCUGACGCAGCAACGCCGCGUGAGUGAGGAAGGUUUUCGGACCGUAAAGCUCUGUCGAGCGGGAAGAAGUGCAUGGUGGCUAAUAUCCAUUAUGCUUGACGGUACCGCUAAAGGAAGCACCGGCUAACUCCGUGCCAGCAGCCGCGGUAAUACGGGGGGUGCUAGCGUUGUUCGAAAUCGUUGGGCCGGCAGAGUAUGUAGGCGGCGAAAGCCCUGGGCUUAACCUAGGAAGUGCAUUUGAAACUGUUCAGCUUGAGUAAGGGAGAGGAAAGUGGAAUUCCUGGUGUAGAGGUGAAAUUCGUAGAUAUCAGGAGGAACACCGGUGGCGAAGGCGACUUUCUGGCCCUAUACUGACGCUGAGACGCGAGAGCGUGGGUAGCAAACAGGAUUAGAUACCCCGGUAGUC
rnacentral:rRNA from 1 species